CUCUCCAAUUUUUCCUUUUGUGUCUACUAAAACUUCUCAAACUCUUAUUUUCCUUUUUUAUUUAGGAGUUGGAGCUGAGCAAGCACUGCUCAUUAGGGUAUUAUUGUCAUUUCAUUCUUUAGUUUCUUUCUGGCUUUAACACGCGUCCUCAAAUUUUAUCCUAAAGAAAACUGCAGCUCCGUUGUUUCCAACAGAAAACCACAGCUUCCAUCUUCCUCUACCUCAGUUGCUUGCAAGAUUUCAUAGUUGUCUCAAAGUUGUUGUGCACUUUCUUUGUUCUUCUUCGAUUGCAGAGGUUGUUUCUACUUUAUUAGAUGACACGUUCAGAGCAAAAGAACAAAUGCCCAUCUUUCUCUAAUACAACCGCUGAAAUGAGAUUCAAUGGGCGCAAAAAAUAUAAAGAAAUGUUGCUAGCUCAAAAAGAGGCAUUACUAUUACAAAGGCGCACAAGAGACCUCGAGUCAAGAAGACGUCUUCUACAAGUUCCUGUCAUGAUAAGAGAGCCUUAUGUUACGUCAACAAAAGUUGUUACAUCUGAAGUUCAUACUUCAGCUGCCACUUCUCCAAAAGGGAAAAGUUUGUUUCAUCCUUCCCGUGUCUUUGAAACAGGCGAGUAUAACAAUCAUAUUAUUUUUGUUAGCUUUCGGCAGCCAUAAGGCAUUUGCUUUUCUAAUUCAUAACUACUUCUAUAUUAGGAUCCACAUCAGCUACAUCUCCUGACCCCUGUACUGUUACCAAGAUCAAUAUAUCAAAUAGAGGUUUGUCUUAAUUUCAACAUAGAAUACUAUUCGCUAGUUUCCUCACAUAGAAUAGUAUUCACUAUUUUCCUUUCAGCUCUAACCAAUUCUGUGAUAUUUAGGAAAUAGGUCCAGCAGAGGUUGUCAGAUAAAUGUUAAAGAAUCUAAAUCUGAGUAUAUACCUCUCAAAGUUGUCCCAAAUUGUAAAUUCUGCAGUGCAAAAAGAUUUCAGUAUGAAACGCCUAGAUUUUGUUGCGAUAAUGGCUCGAUUAAGCUUACAUCACAUAAAAUGCCUACAGAACUAAGAACUUUAUUUUUAAAUUCUUCCGAAGAGUCUGAACAUUUUCGAACAUAUGUUAGGACAUACAAUAAUAUGUUCGCUUUUACUUCACUUGGGGUAAAAUAUGACAAAGACUUGGCUAAGAGAUAUCAUGGUAUUUAUACCUUCAAAGUUCAAGGAAAGAUGUACCACUUCAUUGAUGAUUUAUCAACGGGAAAGGGAAAAAACUUACAACUAUACUUCUAUGACAAUGAAAAUGAGGUGGCAAAUAGAAUUGCUUGUUCUACUAGAAUUCACGAAGGUAUGAUAAUAAAAUUGAUGAAUAUACUGCAGGUUAGUCCCUGCAACGGGAAAGGGAAAAAACUUACAACUAUACCCAAUUUACUGAACUGUUGUCUUCAAAUUACAUCACUUGACUAUAAGCAAAGGUAUGCCUUUAUUAUGAUAACUACGAAUCUUAUUUCAAAGUUUUAAUGAUCCAUGACCUAUUACUCGAAUGUUGUGAUUAUACCCAAUUUACUGAACUGUUCUCUUCAAAUUAUAUCACUUGACUAUGUGCAAGGAUACUGACAUUGAUUAUCCUGUCCAGCUAGCACAUUUUGCAGUCCUCUUUAAUAAGACCAGGCAGGUUCUUCAAAAAAAUAGGUACCCAUAAUUGAACACAUGAUUGGAGUUCUCUGUACUUGUAGGAAAAAUGUUGUUGUGCUGGUUCCCAUGUCUACGUAUAUGAACGAGUAUAUGAUGAACCUAUAGGGAAGGCAAAGGCAUGUGUAAUGAGACCUGUAGUUGGCGAUCCCUUCACGAAAGGUGUUGAACAAGGUCCUCAGUGUCUACUUCCACGCAAGAUUUCCCGAAGUAAUCUAUCUCCCAAGUGAAAAAAUUUAGUAAAUGAUUUGGCAUGUAGCUUAAAGUCUCAUAUUCUGAAGCUAAUAUCAUUACAAUAUACAUCAUAGAUCAACUCAGGACAAUUUAAGAAAACUCUUAGGUGCAUAAGAGAAGGCCGUGACAGCUCUGCCGCCCUUGAAUGUGGUGAUGAUACAAUUUGCUCCCAAAGCUACUUUAUUCAGUUCAAAUGUUAAGGUAUAUGCUUGAUAUCCUUCUUCUCUAAAGUCCUCAAAUAAUGUUUCUGAAAAUUCCUAGAGAAAGUAAUUUAACAUGAUCAUUGACACUUGCUUGAAUCAAAAAGACGUGUCAAUAGCACAGGAUGAGAUUUUUGCCCUGCGGCAGUGUGUCUUCAAAUUCAAGUAACUUAUGAUAUGAACCUUUUGUGGCAAAUUUCAAAAUUAUGCUCUCUUUUGUGGUUGACAGUUGUUCUUGACAUAGAGUUCACUAGCUUGCUUCCUAUAUAAACUUUCAGUAUGGCAUGGUAUUGAACCUCAGAAAUGUCUAAGCAUAUAUUUAUUGAUAAUCUUCAAUCUACAAUUUAUCAAUUAUUUUUCUUGCGGAGUACUUUUUAGGUGUUAACUGUUGCAUCUGAUCAUACAAGGGAUGUAUAUAGUGCAAUUUUAAAUCCCAUGUGCUCACCCUUUACAGAGGCUUUCAUCUUAGUGACUUGUGUUUAUCAUCAUCGGAAUUUAAAAUCAUCAUCUUUAGUUCACCCUUUCCCCGCCUGUCUGCAUUGCAAAUUUGAAGUUAAAAAUAGUGAUCUAUAUAAAAUGAAUACGACUAGUAUAUAUUCUGUGACCUAUUUUUGGCUUCACAUAGUAGACCAAAACUUAUACUCAUUUAGUUGGGAUGUUCUGGUGCACAAUUAAGUUUGUAGCAAUUGGAAUGCAAUAACAACACAUGUCUUUGGUCAUUGUUCCAUGCUCUUAUGAAAAAGUAGCUGAACAUGUUAGCCAUACAACAAAUAUUAGUUACUUCGCAAGGAUUUUUUCUCGCGCAUGUCUUUGUUUCUAACUUGGUUUCUUAGCUUUCUCCAACAUGAAUCUGACUAUUCUUUAUGGAAACUAUCAAUGCAAUUACAUCUGUACUUAGGACGUGGAAAGUAGCACUUAACGCCUCAUGUGAUGACACGUAUAUGUCUUGUAGCCAUUGCACAUCAAUCUUACUUUCUUUUUAGGAAUAUUUCAAAAGAUGCAUCUAUCAUUUUCUCUAUAAUUUGUAUCUGUGUAUUCUUCCUCCCCUCAGCACCAAAGAAGAAAUUGACACUGCUAUCUCUUAGGAUUUUAUCAUUAUUUUGAUAGGGAAAAAGAGCUAACCUUCUUUAAAAUGUCUUUUUAAAGGGGUUGCCUAAUUUUCCGGUUGUUUUUUAAGCAAAUGAAAUUUUAAUUGAUUUAGCUGCUACUAUAAAAAUAAAAGAGGGGUUUGUAAAGAAAUGAUUAUGUAGUAUAUGGAUGAUGAACCUUUAAGCAAAUGAAAUUUUAAUUGAUUUAGCUGCUACUCUAUAAAAAUAAAAGAGGGGUUUGUAAAGAAAUGAUUAUGUAGUAUAUGGAUGAUGAACCAAAAAGGUGUAAGAGAAUGAAAUUUUAUUAUUCUGGAAUUCAUCUUUUAUGCAUUUUCUAAAACCAAUAAAUUUUAUCUUUAUUUAUUAAUCAAAAUUGGCUUGGAUAUUUGGAUAUAUAUACAUACAUACAUACUAUUAGCUUACUAUUGGUUUCUUUUAACCAAAUUUAUCAAAGGUUGAAGUAGCUAUUUUUAGAGAAAUUUUCAUUUUAUUUUUUAUUUUAAAAAUAUAAUAUUGUAACGGUAACAUUUGAACUGGCUGAACUAAGUUCAAAUUUAGGGACCGCAUGUCCUCCAUCCAACAAGGGGCUCUGCCAAUUUAGAUUAUCAAGUUGUAUUUGUUGCAAGCAACUAGAUUGAUGAGUCACUUUUGACAAAAUUCAAAUUAUCGAAUUAAAAAGUAUAGAUUUUGUGUUUGGUAAAUAUACUAUGAUGUUAGAUAUUGGUGUAAAUCUCAUGUGGUUGAACAAUGAACACAUUUAAAAGUGAUGCUUUUUUUAUUAUUUUUUGAGGAUGGUAAAAUCUAUAUUUAUUGGUUUGAAUUUUUUA